rnacentral:rRNA from 1 species
UACGUAGGGGCCUAGCGUUGUCCGGAUUUACUGGGCGUAAAGGGCGCGUAGGCGGCGCGACAAGUCACUUGUGAAAUCUCUGGGCUCAACCCAGAACGGUCAAGUGAUACUGUCGUGCUAGAGUGCGGAAGGGGCAACUGGAAUUCUUGGUGUAGCGGUAAAAUGCGUAGAUAUCGAGAGGAACACCGGUGGCGAAGGCGGGUCUCUGGACAGUUCCUGACGCUGAGGCACGAAGGCUAGGGGAGCAAACGGG